CUACCCGCUGAACUUAAGCAUAUCAAUAAGCGGGAGGAA
rnacentral:rRNA from 1 species